ensembl:lncRNA
GUCCUAUAACCCAGUAGGAUGCUGGACCAGAGGUCCUAUAACCCAGUAGGACUGCUGGACCAGAGGUCCUAUAACCCAGUAAGAUGCUGGACCAGAGGUUCUAUAACCCAGUAGGACUGCUGGACCAGAGGUUCUAUAACCCAGUAAGAUGCUGGACCAGAGGGUCUAUAACCCAGUAGGACUGCUGGACCAGAGGUCCUAUAACCCAGUAGGACUGCUGGACCAGAGGUCCUACUGGUUCUAUAACCCAGUAAGAUGCUGGACCAGAGGUUCUAUAACCCAGUAGGACUGCUGGACCAGAGGGUCUAUAACCCAGUAGGACUGCUGGACCAGAGGUCCUAUAACCCAGUAGGACUGCUAGACCAGAGGUUCUAUAACCCAGUAGGACUGCUGGACCAGAGGUUCUAUAACCCAGUAGGACUGCUGGACCAGAGGUCCUAUAACCCAGUAGGACUGCUGGACCAGAGGUCCUAUAACCCAGUAGGACUGCUGGACCAGAGGUCCUAUAACCCAGUAGGACUGCUGGACCAGAGGUUCUAUAACCCAUUAGGACUGCUGGACCAGAGGUUCUAUAACCCAGUAGGACUGCUGGAUCAGUUCUGCUGCAACAUAGUAUAUGACGAUCACACGAGAGAAAGAUAUGAUUAUAUUGGAUAUAAAAAAGAUUUGAUAAAAAUGUAAUACAUGCACAGCAUGUAUGAUUAAUAAAUAAAAAUUAACACUAAUGGUGUCUAAUGUUAAUAUCAUGGCUGCACCAUUUUACAAAUUCAUACAUUGAAUGAACAUUACAAAACAACUGCAAAGGCAAUGCACAACAGAGGAAUAACAGCAUGAAACUGAAACACUGAACUGAAAACUUACUGAAACGACUAAACUGAAAUGAUUGAACUGAAAUUAAUUGAAAAAAAAAAAAUGGAUUAAACUAAA